GAUCAUGGCUCAGAUUGAACGCUGGCGGAAUGCUUUACACAUGCAAGUCGAGCGGCAGCGCGGGGCAACCUGGCGGCGAGCGGCGAACGGGUGAGUAAUACAUCGGAACGUGCCCAGACGUGGGGGAUAACUACUCGAAAGAGUGGCUAAUACCGCAUACGAUCUAAGGAUGAAAGCGGGGGAUCGCAAGACCUCGCGCGUUUGGAGCGGCCGAUGGCAGAUUAGGUAGUUGGUGGGGUAAAGGCUUACCAAGCCCGCGAUCUGUAGCUGGUCUGAGAGGAUGAUCAGCCACACUGGGACUGAGACACGGCCCAGACUCCUACGGGAGGCAGCAGUGGGGAAUUUUGGACAAUGGGCGAAAGCCUGAUCCAGCCAUUCCGCGUGCAGGAUGAAGGCCCUCGGGUUGUAAACUGCUUUUGUACAGAACGAAAAAGCUCUUUCUAAUACAGAGAGUCCAUGACGGUACUGUAAGAAUAAGCACCGGCUAACUACGUG
rnacentral:rRNA from 1 species